UUUAAUGAAUUACACUGCAAUUUUGUGCCUCCAAGCAAGGCUGUGGAAAAUACAACUGUCCAAAUUUUACAGUAAUCUCAUUAUCCAGAGAGAACCAGCACCAUGUAAGCAGACAAUUGUACCUCUUCAGCUGCAGGACACUGCGGGGAAUCUAUAGUACAUCAGCUUGGGAAUCCUCUGCUUUGGACUCUAAACGAUUCAACAUUUAUAGUUUGGCUUAUACAACAGAUUUUUACUCUGUAAGACAGAUUUUGCUGUAUUUGUGCUUUUUUCAUCUCCCCCUGAGGAGUAUUAACUCAAAGCAAUCACAAGACACCCAUCCUUGCCUGCUGCUUCUUGAACUGUUAUAUCUUCUUUGCUGCCUGCUCCUGUAUUUGAAGCUUUCCUUUAAUAGGAAAAAGCCACGAUCAAAAAAAUUUGAGACUGUCUCCUUUCCUAAUGGUAACUUUGAUGUACGAAAGCUUAAACCUGUAAAAGCACUUUUGUUCCUAUAGAAUUUACUUUUCACAGCUUAUUCUCAUCCCUGAAAUCAAGAAAGGUAGGAUGAUCUGUAUCGAAUCACGAAAGGAAGCUGUGUGCACCCUCGGAAAACGCUGAGCUGCUUGAGAAGCUGUAGCCAGUGCACGUUUAUGGACGUGGUUUUCUAAGCAAUCUCCAAAGCUUGAACGGAUUACAGUGAUAUUUUAACAAGGCUGCUGGCAUCUGUCACUAGCUUUCACCUACUGAGGAAGCUGAAAGAUGGCAGAGUGCAAUUAUUUCCACGUAAGCUAAAUUCUAGUGGCUGAUUAUCACAAGGACUUUGGUGCUUUAAACUUCUUCAUCUCCUCCAAGUCAAGCAGUCCCUCUGAUGACACUACGAAUCUGGGAGUGAAGAACUUCUUAGAGCUGAUUGGAAAUGGCAUUGCAGAGCUGAAACUUAACUGGAGGAAAUAUAUCUCCUGAAGAAGAAAAUAUAAUGCGCUUUAAGGAUCUGACUUCUGGUGAAAAAUUCAAGCCUAGAGAAAACUUGUCCUCUUUGUUAGGAAGAAUGGGUUGGACAAUUUUCUUCAGUUCGAAAGGAUAUCUGAAUGCCAUGCUGAGCUUAAUCUCUGCAGCAUGCUCUGUGCUUCUCAUCUCUUCCUGAUGCACUGCAUGGUUAUCCUGAAAGGGCAGAUAAAGAAACUGGCCACCAAGAUGGUAAUCACUAGUGGAAAUGAUGAAGACAAAGGCAAUCAAGAAAAGGAAAGCAAAGAAGAAACCAUCCUGGCAAUGCUUGGAAUUAUUGGGACAAUCCUGAACCUCAUUGUGAUCAUUUUUGUGUACAUUUACACGACGUUGUAAACUGGAAGGAAUGCAAAUGGGACAGAUAAAGUGGCCAUUAAGGGUGUCAACAAACACUGCUGACUAUUGACAAAUUGUUUAAUCAGAAUUGACUCUGUAUUAUAUUAACACAUCAUAAAAGCACUGCCUGCAGGCAGAAAAGGAUGAAGCACAAGUAAUUUAACAGGACUUUUUCACAUAGAAACAAGCCAAACUCUUCUGUCCUGCUCUCUUCCUUUUGUUUUGGUCCUUGGUAUGGGGGGAAAUGAUGACAGUUGUGUAAGUAGUAGCUUUGAAGAAAUCCACCAGGAAUAUAUUGUUUUAACACAAUUAAAAAACAAAAAACAACAAAAAAAUGUACACUAUAUACAAUUAGAAAUGUAUACCAUAUAUCUGCAAAGAUCUAACUCAAAGAUAGCUGCAUAGCAGAGAUUGUGUGUCCAUUAGGUCAUAUGAUUUUUUCUCUUGCUUUUUACUUUUACUUGCAUUGAAUCUGACAAGCUUUUUAUUUAGAAUGAACAUAUGGUGCAAUCAUGAAAAAAAAAAACAAUUCCAUUGAGCAAGAUCUGCCUAAAACUGAUAAAACAUAGGGAAAAAUACAUUCCAUGGUUAUUUUUCCUUUCUCAUUUGCUUAACAUCUGUGUCUGUUAAUACCAAUGUUUAUAAAAAUAUAUUUUUAAUAAAUGUGCUAUAUUUUUAGCAUGAACCAAAUAUUCGGAGACACUUGUAUUCAUGCAGCAAGAUUUUGUUUGAUGAAGUGCCCUUUUUUGACAAUGGAUGUUAUUCUUCUCAGCAAUUAUAUAGCAGUCGUGUUUGCAGCCCUCUCAUUGUAGUCUGAAGCAAACUCACAUCAUGCUCAUAUGCACGACUUGAAGUUGGACUGUCAGCUGAAAAGCAUUGCUGUUUAAUAUGGGAAAUAGGAAAACACUGAAAGGUGACCUUUGGAGACUGAUUGCAGAAAGAAGGCUCUAUUUAUAGAAAGAAAAAAGCAAAUGAAAGGGAUAUAAAGGCGUCUUAAAAACAAAAAUCACAGUAUUUAUGCCUUCCUGAUCUGAUCACACUCUCUAAGUACUUAUAUUUAGAGAAGCGAGCAAAGGUUUAUGCAGCUGCACAGAGAGAUUUGUAAGAACCUGUAGUGAGGAGCUUAAGAGAAAUCCAGAUUGUAAAUACAGAGUACACUUUAGCUGUGAGGAUAGGCAAGCAUUUACACUUCUUGGACAUGUGCUUUAACUGAGCAGGGUGCAGUGAAAUUCUUUGACUUGUGUUUUUGUCAGGAAUGUACAACGGGUGAUCACCAUUUUUCUUCAGAGUUUUAGUACAUCUGAAUAUAUGAUGCAUUAAAAUUAUGAGACCUCAACUCUGCCUCAAGGUGCCUAAAUAUGUUUCCUAUUAACUCUGAAAGAUCUUUUUAAUAAAGA